rnacentral:lncRNA from 1 species
ACACAGGAAAACAAGACAAGUGCCAAGAAAUCCACAGCAUUACGAGGGUUCUUCAAUUACAUAAACUCACACUGAGGACCAUGGACAUGUGAAUAUCCAUGAGCACAGCAAACAGUGAGAACAUCACAGCAAGUUUAGGGUGACAGAAACUGAGAAAUAAUGUGUACGUUGAGUCUAAGCCCUGACAAGUACUGUGGAAGAGACCCAAAAAUACCUUUAUUUCCAAGGUAAAAACAAUACAAACAAACUCUUAACAAGUUCUCGUGCUUUACUGUGUUUAAAUAUACUUACUGUAAAGGGUUUUGCAGUUCCCCUAUCAUCUUUACUUGAAAUAAUCUUGGCAUUUUUUCUUGUCUCUCUCAAGCGGUCAAGAGGUGGAGGCUUUAUAAAUAUAACAAACGGCUUAAACUCGUAUGUCCGUAAGUGUUUCACUGUCU